rnacentral:lncRNA from 1 species
CUGAAAAGUGGGAAUAAUAGGAAGACUCUCUUCAUCGCAGGCUUGUUGUGAGGACGAGAUAGUCCUAAGUCACAACAACUGUUAGCUGCUAUUCUUCCUGCUUCCAGCCUGGCCCCCUGAGGAGGGCUCCAUCUAACACCUGCCGGCCACGCCCCUCUCCCCGCCCCCAAAUCACUGCUUCAGAGAAGAGAGCAAAAGAGACAGGUUGCCCGGGAGAGCCCUUUCAUGGGGCGUGGCUCUGCCCCUAGGUCCCCAGGAGUGAUCAUAAUUUGACGUGUCACAGAGGCAGCAGCUUUAAAAGGGCAAGAACUGGACAUUCCUUCAGCAAUGGGGAUUGUUCUGUCACAUCGUGCUGCUUAAGUCUGGGAGCCAGGGUGGGAGGUACUGGGUUACAAGAAGGGAACAGGUGUGAGGGGUGACAACAUACUCAUUCAGCUUUGGACUCGUGCCUGUGGGGGUCCUGUAGGAGAUCUUGCGGACCUGUGCAGUGGGCCGUCGGAAAGGCAAGCCUGACCCUUUCAAGAGAGGUCAGGCCUGGAGACCAAGGGCACUGAAAGAGAACACAGGGCUGAUUCCUUGACCUUUUGCAGUUCAUAGUCUAAUGAGGAAUACGAAUAAUUACAAAGGUCUUCCACAGCCUGGAACCAGCCAGCCCCCUGCAGGGACCCCUCUUCUCCCGCUCUCCACCUCUGCACCACUAGCUGGAGGCCCUCGUCCCACCUGUGCCAAAGACUGCUGCAGCCUCCAAGAUGUGGCUUAAAUGGUGCUGCCUCCACCACGGUCUCUAGGAUGUCGCCUUGCUGAUUCUCCUGCAACACUUGAAAGGUAUCACCUAUCUGAAAGGUCAGCUCUGCAAGCUCUUGUCCAGCUCUUUACCCUCCUACGAGUCCUCACACCGAAUACUGCACAUUGAAAUUGCUGAGGGUGUGUGUGCAAUCCUGCCUCCGACCGAGUCUGCAGUCCCUGUUAAGUAGACAUGGUGAAAAAGCUUAACCACAUGUAGGCUGUUGAUCUGGCCACUUUGAACUAUUACUGCUACUUUGCUUGAGUUUAUUGUUGCCACGUUGACCAGUCAGUCAAUAAACAACAAGAAGUGGCUGGAAAACCGUGGCAUGAUGCCCCUUUGGCAAAAUGAUAAAAUGGGCAACAAUUUCUGCUUUGUUGCUUGUCCUGCCUCUUUACGUUGUGCCUUCCUGAG